UAGGGAUAUCGUAUAAAGGUAGUACAUCGGUCUCCAAAACCGCUAGUGUGGGUUCAAUUCCUACUAUCCCUGUUUU
rnacentral:tRNA from 1 species